GACGAACGCUGGCGGCGUGCUUAACACAUGCAAGUCGAACGGUAAGGCUCCAGCUUGCUGGGGUACACGAGUGGCGAACGGGUGAGUAACACGUGGGUGACCUGCCCUGCACUUCGGGAUAAUCCUGGGAAACUGGGUCUAAUACCGGAUAGGACCGCACCGUGAGGGUGUGGUGGAAAGUUUUUUCGGUGUGGGAUGGGCCCGCGGCCUAUCAGCUUGUUGGUGGGGUAAUGGCCUACCAAGGCGGCGACGGGUAGCCGGCCUGAGAGGGUGGACGGCCACAUUGGGACUGAGACACGGCCCAGACUCCUACGGGAGGCAGCAGUGGGGAAUAUUGCACAAUGGGCGGAAGCCUGAUGCAGCGACGCCGCGUGGGGGAUGACGGCCUUCGGGUUGUAAACUCCUUUCACCAUCGACGAAGGGUUUCUGACGGUAGAUGGAGAAGAAGCACCGGCUAACUACGUG
rnacentral:rRNA from 1 species